GUCUUAGCUUGCUAAGGCUGAUGGCGACCGGUGCACGGGUGAGUAACACGUAUCCAACCUGCCGUCUACUCUUGGCCAGCCUUCUGAAAGGAAGAUUAAUCCAGGAUGGCAUCAUGAGUACACAUGUCCGCAUGAUUAAAGGUAUUUUCCGGUAGACGAUGGGGAUGCGUUCCAUUAGAUAGUAGGCGGGGUAACGGCCCACCUAGUCAACGAUGGAUAGGGGUUCUGAGAGGAAGGUCCCCCACAUUGGAACUGAGACACGGUCCAAACUCCUACGGGAGGCAGCAGUGAGGAAUAUUGGUCAAUGGGCGAUGGCCGAACCAGCCAAGUAGCGUGAAGGAUGACUGCCCUAUGGGUUGUAAACUUCUUUUAUAAAGGAAUAAAGUCGGGUAUGCAUACCCGUUUGCAUGUACUUUAUGAAUAAGGAUCGGCUAACUCCGUGCCAGCAGCCGCGGUAAUACGGAGGAUCCGAGCGUUAUCCGGAUUUAUUGGGUUUAAAGGGAGCGUAGAUGGAUGUUUAAGUCAGUUGUGAAAGUUUGCGGCUCAACCGUAAAAUUGCAGUUGAUACUGGAUGUCUUGAGUGCAGUUGAGGCAGGCGGAAUUCGUGGUGUAGCGGUGAAAUGCUUAGAUAUCACGAAGAACUCC
rnacentral:rRNA from 1 species